rnacentral:rRNA from 1 species
GAUAACCGCUGAAAGCAUCUAAGCGGGAAACCCACCUCGAAACUAGUUCUCCCUUGAGAGCCGUGGAAGACCACCACGUUGAUAGGCUGGGUGUGGAAGCGCAGCAAUGCGUGAAGCUAACCAGUACUAAUCGCUCGAUUGGCUUGAUUGCUUUCAUU